rnacentral:rRNA from 1 species
UAGGGAAUCUUCGGCAAUGGACGGAAGUCUGACCGAGCAACGCCGCGUGAGUGAAGAAGGUUUUCGGAUCGUAAAGCUCUGUUGUAAGAGAAGAACGAGUGUGAGAGUGGAAAGUUCACACUGUGACGGUAUCUUACCAGAAAGGGACGGCUAACUACGUGCCAGCAGCCGCGGUAAUACGUAGGUCCCGAGCGUUGUCCGGAUUUAUUGGGCGUAAAGCGAGCGCAGGCGGUUAGAUAAGUCUGAAGUUAAAGGCUGUGGCUUAACCAUAGUGGGCUUUGGAAACUGUUUAACUUGAGUGCAAGAGGGGAGAGUGGAAUUCCAUGUGUAGCGGUGAAAUGCGUAGAUAUAUGGAGGAACACCGGUGGCGAAAGCGGCUCUCUGGCUUGUAACUGACGCUGAGGCUCGAAAGCGUGGGGAGCAAACAGGAUUAGAUACCCUGGUAGUCCACGCCGUAAACGAUGAGUGCUAGGUGUUAGACCCUUUCCGGGGUUUAGUGCCGCAGCUAACGCAUUAAGCACUCCGCCUGGGGAGUACGACCGCAAGGUUG